rnacentral:tRNA from 1 species
GAGGUUGUGGCUCAAGUGGUAGAGCGCAUGCCUAGCACGCAUGAGGCACUGGGUUCGAUCCUCAGCACCACA